GCGUUGUUAGCUCAACCGGACAGAGCAAUUGCCUUCUAAGCAAUCGGUCAC
rnacentral:tRNA from 1 species